AAAAAAAAAAGGAUUUAUACUUAAUAAUAUUAGUUCUCCUGCAGGGUUACAAUAUCGGUGGUUGGUUGUUAACAAAACCCCACACCACCGUCAGAAAAAAUUACAAACUUGGAGAUUUAAUUUACUUAAAUGUCUAAAACCCAGAUAGUUUUCAUGGGUCAUCUUCUUUCUUGGGUUGGAGGGGGAAAAAAUAGGACCCAAAGAAAGAAUAAUUAUAAAAGAGAAAAUUAA
rnacentral:misc_RNA from 1 species